UUAGGUUGAAUCCCAUUACUUGGCUCGCUUCAAAAUCUCAGCCCUAACCCUCGCUGUUGCGCGUUCACGCGCCGUGGAGCCAUGUCCCAAUACCAGUUUAAAGGUAGCUUAAGGGCUAGGGGGAGGGCUAACAUCCCCUCAAAAUUGAGAUUUUCGAUGGGCACCCUCAAUGCGCUUCAGUUCUGACUUGCUCCCACAAUACCUUGCGAGAAAACGGAAAAUCAAGAAAUAUCCUAGACAAGAUGGAGGGCGAAAAGAUGCGACAGGAUUGGAAAAACACAAAUGACUUCGUUGAGUCCACUGCCACCAGCCCCCCCACCUCUCCCUCAUGCUCCUCCACCCCAGGCACCUCUUCCACCACCCCAGGCACCUCUUCCAAGAGGAGAGUGCCAGGGGGCAGGCGAGGCAUGAGGAGAGCGAGGCAAAGUUGGCGGAAUGGUGGAGAAGAUGUGAUUCUCCACCAUUCUCUCAAAAGCUGAGAGAGAGUGUGUGUGUGUGUGUGUGUAUUUUUAGGUGUGCGUGUGUGUGUAUUUUUAGAUGCGUGUGUGUGUAUUUUUAGAUGUGUGGUUCAGUGUUUCUUAUUUAAAUAAAGUGUUUCUUCUAAAGUG